AUUGAACGCUGGCGGCAUGCCUUACACAUGCAAGUCGAACGGCAGCACGGGUGCUUGCACCUGGUGGCGAGUGGCGAACGGGUGAGUAAUACAUCGGAACGUACCUUAUCGUGGGGGAUAACGCAGCGAAAGCUGUGCUAAUACCGCAUACACCCUGAGGGGGAAAGCGGGGGAUCGCAAGACCUCGCGCGAUUAGAGCGGCCGAUGCCUGAUUAGCUUGUUGGUGGGGUAAAAGCCCACCAAGGCGACGAUCAGUAGCUGGUCUGAGAGGACGAUCAACCACACUGGGACUGAGACACGGCCCAGACUCCUACGGGAGGCAGCAGUGGGGAAUUUUGGACAAUGGGGGCAACCCUGAUCCAGCAAUGCCGCGUGAGUGAAGAAGGCCUUCGGGUUGUAAAGCUCUUUUGUCAGGGAAGAAACACCGGCUCUAACACAGUCCGGGAAUGACGGUACCUGAAGAAUAAGCACCGGCUAACUACGUGCCAGCCGCCGCUGUAA
rnacentral:rRNA from 1 species